rnacentral:rRNA from 1 species
CCUACGGGUGGCAGCAGUGAGGAAUAUUGGUCAAUGGUCGGGAGACUGAACCAGCCAAGCCGCGUGAGGGAUGAAGGUACAGAGUAUCGUAAACCUCUUUUGUCAGGGAACAAAGGCGGGGACGUGUCCCCGGAUGAGUGUACCUGAAGAAAAAGCAUCGGCUAACUCCGUGCCAGCAGCCGCGGUAAUACGGAGGAUGCGAGCGUUAUCCGGAUUUAUGGGGUUUAAAGGGUGCGCAGGCGGUCUGUUAAGUCAGCGGUAAAGGCCCGGGGUUCAACCCCGGCCCGCCGUUGAAACUGGCAGUCUCGAGUUGGAGAGAAGUAUGCGGAAUGCGCGGUGUAGCGGUGAAAUGCAUAGAUAUCGCGCAGAACUCCGAUUGCGAAGGCAGCAUGCCGGCUCCACACUGACGCUGAGGCACGAAAGCGUGGGUAUCGAACAGGAUUAGAUACCCGGGUAGUC